rnacentral:tRNA from 1 species
GCCUGGGUGGCUCAGUUGGUUAAGUGACUGACUUCAGCUCAGGUCAUGAUCUCGUGGUUCGUGAGUUCAAGUCCCACAUCAGGCU